ensembl:lncRNA
UGGAUGGUGGGGCAAGGAGAGGACUGGACGUGGGCUGGGUCUGGAGGUAGGGUGGAUGGUGGGGCAAGGAGAGGACUGGACGUGGGCUGGGUCUGGAGGUAGGGUGGAUGGUGGGGCAAGGAGAGGACUGGACGUGGGCUGGGUCUGGAGGUAGGGUGGAUGGUGGAUGGUAUGAUGGAUGAAAAGUAAUGCCUUGGAUCUCCAGCAACACAACGCUGUCUGUCCUAAGGGCUUGUGAAGCUUUCAAACCUAUGAUCUAUUAGUAACAUAAAGCCUUUUAUAAUCAUGAUGUUGACAGCGUUUAGGGGCCUCGAUCUCUCUACUUCUGAGUCUUUUCAAUAGUGUGAUUGAAAACAAAAAUGUACAUUAUUAUUCUAUUUAAAAAAAAAAAAAAGAAAAGAAAAAAGACAAGUGUUCUGUAUGGACCUGUAUUUACCCAUCAGUUUCUGAUGUUCAAACACUGUGAUUAUUAUAAAUGUUGUUGGACAACAUGAGUUUAAGAAGAAAAAAGCUAGAAAAAUACAAAGUAAAAGACAGUUGGAGGAAACAUUAUGGUGGAUUGGUAAUACUUAGGCUGAACAAAAAUACAAAGUAAAAGACAGUUGGAGGAAACAUUAUGGUGGAUUGGUAAUACUUAGGCUGAACAAAAAUACAAAGUAAAAGACAGCUAUUUUCCUUAUCCAGUACUUAUCGAGGUCACUUUAACCUUUCUUCUCUUUGUACUUUCUUUAUAUUAGAUAAAUGUGAAUGUUAAAUGGACUCAAUUAACGUACUUGAAUAGUAACUUGGGGUUGAGUGCCAAAUAACACCCUAUCCCCUACAUGGUGUUCAACCUUUCACCAGGAGCCGAUAAGACCUCGAUCAGGGCCCAUGGGGCUCUGGUCAAAAGUAGUGCACUAUAUAGGGGAUAUGGUGCAAUGUAGGACUCACCCUUGGUCUUUUCCGUCUCCUUUCGCCCCCCCCAGUACUCCAGUGAGAGCUCUGCUAGAGUUUCUAGUGCCUUCCAUUAUUUAUUUUGCUUCUUUUUUUUAACCGUUUUUUGACAUGAUGGAGUAACGGAAGUGCUGUUGAUUUCUGCUACAUUGAAGUGCUUUACUGGCUCUGUGGGUACAAAAGGCAAAGGUACACUGGGAAGGGGG